rnacentral:rRNA from 1 species
CCUACGGGUGGCAGCAGUGAGGAAUAUUGGUCAAUGGACGCAAGUCUGAACCAGCCAUGCCGCGUGCAGGAAGACGGCUCUAUGAGUUGUAAACUGCUUUUGUACGAGGGUAAACGCGGAUACGCGUAUCUGCCUGUAAGUAUCGUACGAAUAAGGAUCGGCUAACUCCGUGCCAGCAGCCGCGGUAAUACGGAGGAUUCAAGCGUUAUCCGGAUUUAUUGGGUUUAAAGGGAGCGUAGGCGGACGGAUAAGUUAGAGGUGAAAGCCCGAGGCUCAACCUUGGAAUUGCCUCUGAUACUGUCCGUCUUGAGAGUAGUAGAGGUAGGCGGAAUGUAUGGUGUAGCGGUGAAAUGCUUAGAGAUCAUACAGAACACCGAUUGCGAAGGCAGCUUACCAAGCUACUUCUGACGCUGAUGCACGAAAGUGUGGGUAGCAAACAGGAUUAGAUACCCCGGUAGUC